CCUACGGGUGGCAGCAGUGAGGAAUAUUGGUCAAUGGACGAGAGUCUGAACCAGCCAAGUCGCGUGAAGGAUGACUGCCCUAUGGGUUGUAAACCUCUUUUAUAAAGGAAUAAAACGAGGUACGUGUGCCUCUUCGCAUGUACCUGAAGAAAAAGCAUCGGCUAACUCCGUGCCAGCAGCCGCGGUAAUACGGAGGGUGCGAGCGUUAACCGGAAUUACUGGGCGUAAAGGGCUCGUAGGCGGUAUGUCAAGUCAAGGGUGAAAUCUCCGCGCUCAACGUGGGAACAGCCUUUGAAACUGGCUAGCUAGAGUGUGUGAGAAGAUAGUGGAAUGCGUGGUGUAGGGGUGAAAUGCGUAGAUAUCUCGAGGAACAUCGAUGGCGAAGGCAGCAAUCUGGCACAUAACUGACGCUGAGGAACGAAAGCGUGGGUAGCGAACAGGAUUAGAUACCCGGGUAGUC
rnacentral:rRNA from 1 species